GUAAUACAUAGGAAUCUGCCUUGUAGAGGAGGAUAACUGUUGGAGACAACAGCUAAUACUCCAUAUUGCCGAGAGGUGAAAGAUUUAUCGCUACAAGAUGAGCCUAUGCAGGAUUAGCUAGUUGGUGGGGUAAAAGCCUACCAAGGCUAUGAUCUUUAGUUGGUCUGAGAGGAUGAUCAGCCACACUGGAACUGAGACACGGUCCAGACUCCUACGGGAGGCAGCAGUGGGGAAUUUUUGACAAUGGGCGAAAGCCUGAUCGAGCAAUGCCGCGUGAGUGAUGAAGGCCUUAGGGUUGUAAAGCUCUUUUAGUAGGGAAGAUUAUGACGGUACCUACAGAAAAAGUCCCGGCUAACUUCGUGCCAGCAGCCGCGGUAAUACGAAGGGGGCUAGCGUUACUCGGAAUUACUGGGCGUAAAGCGUGCGUAGGCUGUUUUGUAAGUUGGUAGUUAAAUUCUCGAGCUCAACUCGAGGCCUGCUAUCAAGACUGCAAGACUAGAGUACUGGAGAAGAUAGUGGAAUUCCUAGUGUAGAGGUGAAAUUCAUAGAUAUUAGGAGGAACACCAGAGGCGAAAGCGACUAUCUGGCCAGAGACUGACGCUGUUGCA
rnacentral:rRNA from 1 species